AUAGAAUCAACCUGAACCCAGCACUUUGAUCAAAUACACAUUCGGAUUCUUCACUUGAGCAGACAAAGGAGUGUGAUGAGAGAAAGCACCCAGGACAGGCUGCCUCUUGUUCUCAUUCUGGAAUGUUCAUUGCUCUGUGGGCCAGGGCUCAGCUUUGGAGCUUGAAGGGACCUCAAAGGUCUUCCAGCCACCUCUGGGCAUGAGUGCACCCUCUGGAAAGCAGCAAGUGCACAUUUACUGCCGGGACAUGGAGAUAAGGAGGGCUUCACUCCAGGAAGGUACCUUACCUUGCUCAUUGGAAUCUCCC